UUCGAAUAAUAAUAACUUUUCUGUAUAUAUAUAUAUAUAUAUAUAUAUAAUAUUUAGCUUGUCUAUUACUCUCUCUAGCGGUUAUUUGCUCUGAAGGCGCUGGUUAAGCAGAGGUUUGCUACCGUGCUCUAUCAACGAUGCCGCGCCGGAAACGACGGGCGGGCAAAGCUCCGACCACUAGAAUGAAGAUAGAUCAGGAUAUGAGGGUAAUUACUCCACAGUCAGGGGUCCCUCAAGCUAUGGAACCACUGAAACUAAGCAAUUGGGUAACAAAUGGAGAAGGACCAAGCUGCAUGUAACAGGAAACAACUACUGCUCGAAAAUUAAAGUUUCCUGAGGAACAAGCUAGUCCAAAUCCGAUCAAAGGAAACACUGAAGAUGAAAAACUGGUCAAAGGAAGCCCUGAAGCUGAGUUUCCGAUCAAAGAAAACUCGAAAGAAGAAGGUCCAACUAUGGCGGAUGUGGUGAAAAACAACCGAGCCCAACAUCUAGGUAUGAAAUUGAAGUUUUUCCCUCCGGUCAUUAAAAAUUGUGUAAAAGUAGUACAAUCAAAUGAGAUUGAAAUGGAGAAGCAGAGUAAACACUGGAGAAAUGCUUUAAUUGGCUAUGUAUUAGGAGGUAUGCCUAGUUUCAAGGAGAUGUUACAAUUUGUGUAUGGAGUUUGGCACUUCGUGUCAACACCUAGAGUAUUCCUUCAUGAUCAGUGGCGGAUCUAGGAAUUCAAGUUUGUGGGUGCUGAAUUUUUUUUUACAUAAAAUUAAUGGGUGCUAUUAUAAAUUUUUAUACGUUUUUUCAAAUUUUCUAUAUAACUAUACAUACUCUGCGUCGAGGUUAAUGGGUGCUGGAGCACCCAAAAUUCAUGUGUAGAUCCGCCACUGUAUGUGAGUAGUAAAGCGUGAUAAAGGCUGGUUAUGCGUCGAAGUUAAUGGGUGCUCGAGCACCCAAUCUCAAUGAGUAGAUCCGCCCCUGUUCAUGAUGAUGGAUACGUCAUAUUCAAAUUUGAAUUGGAGGAUGAUAAGAACUUAUUGCUUCAGAAUGGGCCUUAUACAUUCAAAAGUAGGCCGAUGAUUUUAAAGGAAUGGAUACCAGAUUUCAAAAUGAAGAAGGAACCUCUGCGAUUUGUUCCACUGUGGGUAUCAUCCCCUAAGCUACGAUUUAACGCCAUUAUAUCUCAUUUUUGCAUCCAUUACUAGGCUUCUGCUAAUAAGAUCAACCAAGUAUUCUUCUGCCAUAUCUUCUAAGCUCUUUAGUUUAUGUUUUCUAACCAAGCCCCCGGCAACCCACUUCCAUGUUAACUUUGAGACUGGAAUUUCUUCAUCUUCCAUGAAUCCUCCAAAGUAAAGAAAACAAGGUUUAAGAUAUUCAGGUAAAUGCUUGUAACUUAACUCUAUUAUGCCUCUCGAGUCACCAACUGUAGUAGUGCUUAGACUUUCUGCAACUUGUAGCCAUCCAUCUUCUUUAGUAUCCAUUUUUCCGAGAAGACCAGCCACCAAAACAACUGAAAGGGGUAUCCUUGACACUUCUCUGCGAUUCUUUUAUCAACAUCCACAAGUUCUGGAGGGCAUUGUUGGUCUUGAAAUAGCUUCUGUAUUAACAACAUCCAACUUUCCUCAUUAUGAAAAAAACGGAGGCACAAAGGAUCUGUGGUACACUUGGCAUAUGAAGCUACUUCAGCAUGACGAGUCGUUAGAAUAUUCCUUUCUUAUUAUCUCUAAAAGGAGUCUUGACAUCAUCCCAUGCUUCAAUGGUCCAAAUAUCAUCCAUGAAAAUGAGGUACCUCCUUCCUAUGAUACUUUUCCGCAACAGGACAGCCAAAUCUCCCUCACUCUUUUCUUCAACAUUUUCUGGAAGUGCAAUAUUGAUUUGUUGUAAAAUGUCAAUCACCAAUGAUUUCUUUUCAUAUCUUUCAGAAAUGCAGCACCCCACACAAACAUCAAAACGAUUGAUAGCUUUGCAAUCAUCAUAUACUUUCUUGGCCAAAGUGGUCUUUCCAAGUCCAGGCAUUCCAAAAAUGGUUAUAACAUCUAAGUCAGGGGAUCCUCCAAUUACCUUCUGCUUCAAUGUUGCCGAGACAUCUUCAAAGCCCACUACUGCUUCAUUUAUAGUUGGCUUCUCAAUAUGACUGGAGAUAUGGGAAAUCUCGCCAAGAGAAUAUUUUCUGGAAUCAUACAAGUCACUGGUUGAGAUCUUUAUAACUCUUCCUUUGAUAAGCUUUAUAUCUUCUACGAUAUCAGAAAAUGUAUGGUGCCAAAUCGUGCCAUCUCCAUUAGCAACAUAUGAGUCAAUGGCAUAUUCCACUUCAUACGCUACACCUACCACUUUUUCCCAUUCACUUCUCAACUCAACAUGCUCAUUACGCUUCUGGGCAAUUUUCUCAAGAAAUUCCCUUAGAAAUUUGAGCUCCCUUUGAAUCGUCUAGAUUUGACGCUUUAAAAGAACAAUUUGGUCGCCCUUAAAGUUUAAGAUCUCUGCUAGAUUUUCAACAACUAAAUCAAGAAAACCUAGUCCAUCAGUCAUGGGGAAAUUAGUUCUUGACAGUUUUGGAAUUUUAGGACAAAUUUCUCUGUCCUCUGCCUUAAUCAACUUUAUUUUCUGUAGCACAUCCGAGAGUUGAAGGUCCAUUCUUCCACCC
rnacentral:lncRNA from 1 species